rnacentral:rRNA from 1 species
AGAGUUUGAUUCUGGCUCAGAACGAACGCUGGCGGCGUGGAUAAGACAUGCAAGUCGAACGGAGAAUUUCAAUAGCUUGCUAAUGAAAUUCUUAGUGGCGGACGGGUUAGUAACACGUGAGAAUCCUACCCUUGAGUGGGGAAUAGCCUUUCGAAAGGAAGAUUAAUGCCCCAUAGUCUCUACGGAGUAAAGAUGCCUUCGGGUGUCGCUUAAGGAUGGGCUCGCGGCCUAUCAGCUAGUUGGUGAGGUAAGAGCUCACCAAGGCAACGACGGGUAGCUGGUCUGAGAGGACGAUCAGCAACACUGGAACUGAGACACGGUCCAGACACCUACGGGUGGCAGCAGUCGAGAAUCAUUCACAAUGGACGAAAGUCUGAUGGUGCAACGCCGCGUGGAGGAUGAAGGACCUAGGUUCGUAAACUCCUGUCAUAUAAGAGUAAGACAUAUUGGGAAUAAUACCCUGAUAUGUUUGAUAGUAUUAUAAGAGGAAGGGACGGCUAACUUCGUGCCAGCAGCCGCGGUAAUACGAAGGUCCCGAGCGUUAUUCGGAAUCACUGGGCGUAAAGAGUACGUAGGCGGUUUGGUAAGUCAGGUGUGAAAUCCCGAAGCUCAACUUCGGAACUGCAUCCGAUACUGCCAGACUAGAGUAAUGGAGAGGCAGGUGGAAUUCUCGGUGUAGCAGUGAAAUGCGUGGAUAUCGAGAGGAAGACCAAUGGCGAAGGCAGCCUGCUGGACAUUUACUGACGCUGAGGUACGAAGGCUAGGGUAGCGAAAGGGAUUAGAUACCCCUGUAGUCCUAGCAGUAAACGGUGCGCGCUUGGUGUAGGAGGACUCGACCCCUUCUGUGCCGGAGCUAACGCGUUAAGCGCGCCGCCUGGGGAGUACGGUCGCAAGACUAAAACUCAAAGAAAUUGACGGGGACCCGCACAAGCGGUGGAGUAUGUGGCUUAAUUCGAUGCAACGCGAAGAACCUUACCAAGGCUUGACAUGUAUUGCUAAGCACGUGAAAGCGUGUGACCCUUCGGGGACCUUACACAGGUGCUGCAUGGCCGUCGUCAGCUCGUGUCGUGAGAUGUUUGGUUAAGUCCAGCAACGAGCGCAACCCCUGUGAAUAGUUGCCAGCACGUAAUGGUGGGGACUCUAUUCAGACUGCCCGGGUCAACCGGGAGGAAGGUGGGGAUGACGU